rnacentral:lncRNA from 1 species
GGUCCUGGGCUCCAAAGGACGUCGUAUGGCUCAGUUUACCUGGGUGCCACGUGCCACCUGGGAUGUUGUCUGGCCAGGGGUUGCUCUCCCAAAGCGGCACUUACCGCAGACACCGCAGUGACAGACAGAGACGCUUCCGCCUGGCAGCCCCGAGAGAACUCGCUGAGAGCCUUCCCGGUGGAACGCAUCAAGGCGGCUUCAUUCCUCGAACCUGGUGUCGGGGAGGCCUGCCCGCCCUCGCGCCGAACUGCAAAGGGCGGCUCGUCUCCCCAGGCCAGAAGGACCUUGCCCUCGCCCCAGGGGCCCAGAGCACAAAGCCGGUCCUCGGGGUGCUUGCCGUGCGGGGCGGGGGGGGGGUUCCGCCCAGCACCCCCUCCGCCCCACCUCCGAGCCUGCUCCUGCCGCCUGGGCAGAGCGCACCUGGGGCGGCGAGGUCCUCUGGCGCCGCCUUGUGGACAUCUGCUCGAACAGCAAGUCCCAGGGGUUCCUCCUCGCUCUGGCUCAGCAGGCCCCCGGGGCUGCCUGGGGCCUGGGCCCUGGGCCCGGGGCCCGGGGCUGGGUGGGUUCUCUCCCUCCCUUGAGGGAACUCCCAAGAAGAACCUGUCCAAGGGGGCUCCUUCUCGCUCAGAGGCUCUCAGAGCCCUCAGGCCCACCUGCCCCAAGCCCCUCCGUUCCACACACACACACACACCCCCCGCCGUCAGCUCCGGACCCAUCCUGUCAGGACAGGGUGGCCCUUGCUCAGACGGGCCUGCCCUGGGCUAUGGAGGGCCCCGCGCGCGUGUGUGUAUAUAUGGAGCUCUUGCUCUUGCCUUGCGUUUCCAAGUGGUAUUCCUUCGGUCGUCCAAUAAUAAACUCGUGAUUCUUUCCCUUCUGGUUUCGUUCUGGCUUCCUUGCUUCCUUCCUUCCUGUCCCCGUCCCUGUCCCUGUCCCUGUCCCUGUCUCUCCUUCCCUCGUUCUCUCUUGCUUUAUGGACCCCACCUGAGGCGAGCGUCGGUCGCCCGCCCUCGAGGGUCGGCCAGCCACAGAGGGUGCCAAGCUGGCCCCAGCGACCCAGACAGACCUUUUCCCCAGGGAGCCUGGAGGGACCUCCGGGAGGUCUUUCCUGCUCUCGUGCUACCGGCCUGCGAUGGCCCGAGCUGGCUCGAGAGCAGCUCUUCAUACCAGGUGUUUGGCCAGAACCAAAGCGGCUCACAGGGAAAGCCAAAGGCGGAGGUUCAGGAGACCUCCUGGGAGAAGGCACACCGGGAGGGGCGC